GUGAAAUGAUGAAUAAGUUUAUCCAUUCGCUGAGAAAUGCAAACCACUUGCUUCACUGCAUGCUGAUUCCUGUUUUAGGGUCAGUGUGAAUUGCAUCUAUCUUGUGCCAUAUCAUCUUGGCGUUCUGCUGAGAAGUUACUGGUGCCUGAUUAGGUGUAUGUGAAUGCGAGAUGGUUUGUCAGGAUUGGCAGCAUUUUAUGCUCCCACUCUUAAAGAUGAGUGAUAUAUCUGAUCAC